CUCAAUGGUCGGGCCUUGGUGGGGGAGCGUUCGCGCUCACCGGUCCUUGUGCUCCGGUCUUCCAACCCUGCCUCGUGCCCGGCCACCCCA
rnacentral:antisense_RNA from 1 species